UGUAGCCGGAGCGAAAGCGAGUCUGAAUAGGGCGCAUAGUCAGUGGAGGUAGACGCGAAACCCUGUGAUCUACCCAUGACCAGGUUGAAGUUGCAGUAACAUGCAAUGGAGGACCGAACCAGUAUACGUUGAAAAGUAUUUGGAUGAGUUGUGGGUAGGGGUGAAAGGCCAAUCAAACUGGGAGAUAGCUCGUACUCCCCGAAAUGCUUUUAGGAGCAGCGUGGAGGUUAAGUCUGGCAGAGGUAGAGCUACCGAUAGGACUAGGGGGAGUCAAAUCCUACCAAAUCCUGACGAACUCCGAAUGCUGUCAGAUAUACUCUGCAGUGAGGGUUUGGGUGCUAAGGUCCAAAUCCGAGAGGGAAAGAACCCAGAACUACAGCUAAGGUCCCAAAAUCUGUGUUAAGUUGAACUAAGGCGGUCCAGUUGCAGAGACAGCCAGGAUGUUGGCUUGGAAGCAGCCAUUCAUUUAAAGAGUGCGUAACAGCUCACUAGUCGAGCGGUUCGGCAUGGAUAAUAAUCGGGCAUAAACAUACUACCGAAGCUAUGGCAUCUUUAAGAUGGGUAGGGGAGCAUUCUAUAUGUAUUGAAGUUGAGCUGUGAGGCUUGGUGGAACGUAUAGAAAAGAAAAUGUAGGCAUAAGUAACGAUAAUGCGGGCGAGAAACCCGCACACCGAAAGACCAAGGUUUCCUCAGCUAUGCUAAUCAGCUGAGGGUUAGUCAGGACCUAACGCGAACCCGAACGGGGUAGUGGAUGGACAACGGGUUAAUAUUCCCGUACCUGCUCACACUAAAAGUGACGGAUCUCUGGAGUUGCUGCGUACUGACGGAAUAGUACGUUGAAGCAGUAAUGCGAUAGUACACUAAGGCUACGGCCGCGGUGAUAAUGUAGCGAAGGAGGUUCCAAGAAAAGCGAGUGAAGCAGCCUGUACCGUAAACCGACACAGGUGGUUGGGAUGAGAAUUCUAAGGUGCUCGAGAGAUUCAUGGCUAAGGAACUAGGCAAAAUAGUCCUGUAACUUCGGGAGAAGGGACGCCUCCUCUACUUCGGUAGAGAGGCCGCAGUGAAAAGGCCCAGGCGACUGUUUAUCAAAAACACAUGGCUUUGC
rnacentral:rRNA from 1 species